rnacentral:rRNA from 1 species
AAGCCAAACAACCAGCUUAUCAUGUAUAUGUAAAUUCCAGACCGUUGUUAUCAGAAUUCAAGUUAGCAAAACUAAGCAACAAGGACUUUGAUUCAAUUCAAGCGACUUAUGCUUAUUUGGCUGGCAGGUUUGAUGGCGAUGGAACUAUUGGAAAAGACAUGCGCAGAGAUUUAAGGAUUAGUUAUACUACCAAACUUGAAGCAGAAGCAGAUAAAGAGCUUCUGGAAAAAUUGGGCUUCAGGCUUUGCAAAGUAUAUUAUUAUAAAACCUCUGUUGCUUAUGUCUUGUAUGUGUCGAGGUUUGAAGCAGAAAAAUUUAUCGAAAAGAUAUUGCUUUAUUCAUUAAGGUUGCAGAAUUCAGCGUUUGAAUCCCGUAGAGACUUGAUUGCUAUUAAAAGCCAGCAAUCGGAUGCCAAUUUGGCAUAAUACGGCCGGCUCCGUAAUUGUUUGUCGCAAACGGAGAUGGUAUAGUCCGUACCAUCCGCCUACGCUCUUAAAUUAGAGAGCUUCGGCGGACACGCCAUAGCCUUGCGCGAAGGCGUGUUAGUAAUAAUGGAUUAAUACGGUCGUCAGCUCGUGUCGUGAGAUGUUCCCUUAAGUGGGAGAACGAGCGCAACCCCCGUGAUAUGUUGAUUUUCAUAUCAGACUGCCGGCGUUUAAGCCGGAGGAAGGUGGGGAUGACGUCAAAUCAGCGUGGCUUUUACGCCCUGGGCGACACACGUGCUACAAUGGGUAGGAACAAAGGGACGCAAUACCGCAAGGUGGAGCAAAUCCUCUCAAAAACUACCCUCAGUUCGGAUUGUGGGCUGCAACUCGCCCGCAUGAAGCUGGAAUCGCUAGUAACCGUGAAUCAGCCUCGUCACGGUGAAUACGUUCUCGGGUUUUGUACACACCGCCCGUCACGUCAUGGAAGUGGGCAGUGCCCAAAGAUCUCGCAAGAGGUUUAAGGCAAGGUUCAUGACUGGGACGAAGUCAACUUACGGCUUCCUAUGCGAGCAAUCGCAUAA